CGUCUCAAGGUCAGCAAGACUCCGCGGCAGAAGACCUUUACUAUCUCGAUGGAGAAAGGAGAAGAAAUCACCGAUUUCUUCGAAGGUAUUCAGUUAAAAUGGAAAUAUAUUCACGAAGAGCCACGCGAAAAUCACGGCUCUGCAAAAAAAUACUUCGAGCUCUGCUUUAGUAAGAAGUUUAAAGACAAAGUAAUGGAAGUUUACUUGCCUUACGUCAUCGCCCAAGCAGAGAAGAUCAAGAAUGAGAGGAAGGUGGUGAAGUUGUACAAUCGGGAAUGUCCGUACUACGACGAGGAGGAAGCAUGUGGUUCGGGCAUGUGGGGUUUUGUCAAUCUCGAGCAUCCUGCAACUUUCGAUACGUUGGCCAUGGACGAGGAUCUGAAGAAGAUGAUUAUUGACGAUUUGAAUAGGUUUAUAAGGAGAAAAGAGUUUUAUAAGAGAGUUGGGAAAGCUUGGAAACGUGGUUAUUUAUUGUACGGACCUCCUGGUACGGGUAAAUCAAGUUUGAUCGCCGCCAUGGCUAAUUACCUCAAGUUUGAUAUAUACGAUUUGGAGCUUACAAGCGUUUCUUCUAACUCUGAGUUGCGGAGGAUUUUGCUUUCCACCACAAACAAAUC
rnacentral:lncRNA from 1 species